rnacentral:lncRNA from 1 species
UUGACAAACCCGAAAGCUACCUUUAUAACUACCCUGUUACGGCGUAGCGUUUGAUAGCCCCUAAGUAGGUCGAUCCACAUUUAGAAUACAUGCGACAGUCUCAGGUCUAAGGACAAAGCGUAUAUGUUGUUUAAAGAGAGAACUACUUCUCGUGUUGGGUCAGUCCUAGCACAUGUCUCCACAUGUGUCCACAUUAUUAGUUCAACAUCUCCAUGUCCAUGACUUGUGAAACAUAGUCAUCAACUAAUACAUGUGCUAGUCUAAUAUUCAUGUGUGUCCUCACAUGAACUCCAACUAGGGACAACUUUAGAAUAACCAUACAAGUAAAGAGUUUCACAUACAAUUCACACAAUUGCAAAUCAAUUCAAGUAGCCUUCAAUGGAUAUUCAAUGAACACAACAUACAAAUCAUGGAUACAAAUGGAAUAUCAUCAUCUCUAUGAUUGCCUCUAGGGCAUACCUCCAACAUGGCGAACUCAACAACCGUCACUAGGAGCGGGAUGAGGCGGAGCUCCGCCGAUGCGCCCGGUACGACCGCGACUUCGGUGCUCCAGGGGUCGGCAACCAGCCAAACCAUGACGUGAAGCAGGAGGCCCA